rnacentral:rRNA from 1 species
AGUGAACGCUGGCGGUAGGCCUAACACAUGCAAGUCGAACGGCAGCACAGUAAGAGCUUGCUCUUACGGGUGGCGAGUGGCGGACGGGUGAGGAAUACAUCGGAAUCUACUUUUUCGUGGGGGAUAACGUAGGGAAACUUACGCUAAUACCGCAUACUACCUACGGGUGAAAGCAGAGGAUCUUCGGACCUUGCGCGAUUGAAUGAGCCGAUGUCGGAUUAGCUAGUUGGCUGGGUAAAGGCCCACCAAGGCGACGAUCCGUAGCUGGUCUGAGAGGAUGAUCAGCCACACUGGAACUGAGACACGGUCCAGACUCCUACGGGAGGCAGCAGUGGGGAAUAUUGGACAAUGGGCGCAAGCCUGAUCCAGCCAUACCGCGUGGGUGAAGAAGGCCUUCGGGUUGUAAAGCCCUUUUGUUGGGAAAGAAAAGCAGCAGGUUAAUACCCCGCUGUUCUGACGGUACCCAAAGAAUAAGCACCGGCUAACUUCGUG